UACGUAGGGUGCAAGCGUUGUCCGGAAUUAUUGGGCGUAAAGAGCUUGUAGGCGGUUUGUCGCGUCUGCUGUGAAAUCUCAAGGCUCAACCUUGAGCUUGCAGUGGGUACGGGCAGACUAGAGUGUGGUAGGGGAGACUGGAAUUCCUGGUGUAGCGGUGAAAUGCGCAGAUAUCAGGAGGAACACCGAUGGCGAAGGCAGGUCUCUGGGCCACUACUGACGCUGAGAAGCGAAAGCAUGGGGAGCGAACAGG
rnacentral:rRNA from 1 species